CUCACGAGUUAAUCCAAUCCACAUUUCUCAAGUCCUAUGGACCACGGGUUUAUUCGGACCGGGCUAAAAAAUCCUGUUCUUAAAUGAACUGCAAAAAUUGAAGUCCACCCUCAUCAAAUUACUGGCUGGGCCGGGCCAACCCAACGGGUCUGACCCAUAUUGACGGAUCUGCUUUUGCACAAGAAGGAUUUCUAAGCAUACAAUGUUGUGCUCCGGCAAACUUUACAGAGCCACGUACCAACUUAAGUUGGAUUUCAGAUGAAACUUGGUUUCCUGAGAAUAGAAAUUGCAUAUCAAGGCAAAUUUACAAGAAUGCACACUAUGAACGAGCUCGAUCUUUUAACUCAAAUAUUGGUGAUAAGUGGUGUUACAACUUGCCAACCAGGAAAGAUCAUGAAUAUCUAGUAACAGGUACAUUUCUUUCUGGCAAUCGAAAGAAGACUCUCCCACACAGUUCUUUUGUUGUUUUGAUUGGUGUCACACCAAUAGACACAGUAAACUCAUCUGAUGAGCUUACGGUUGAGGGAAUUUUUAGAGCUACUAGAAGCUAUACCAACUUCUGCCUAUUGAAAAAGUGGGAAUCCUUACAUUUCUAAGGUUGAGAUCAGACCGAUAAAUCCAGAUUAUCUGAAGAGGGAGCUGUCAGAAGUAUUCAAACUUUUAGAGAGUAGAUGCUGGAAACAAGGGUGCGGAAAUCAGGUACCCAUACGACCAGUAUGAUAGAAUUUGGCCGCGACCAGCUUCAAAUCUAGAAUCACAAGUUACUCGCACACAGCCAUCCAUUAUUAAGGAGAUCAUUGCAGAAAGGCACAGUUUGUUACGUCCAGCAUUUGUGUUACAAACAGCCCUCACCCAUCCAGAGAGAUUGAGCUUCCUGCAUGAAGAUCUUGACACAGGAUAUUAUACUUACACUCUCUUCCUGUACUUUCUUGAGCCCAGUGACUCAGCUCAAGCUGGACAAAGGGUGUUCUAUAUAUACAUCAACAACAAAAAGAGACUCAAGGUUGAUAUACUGGCUAGUGGUUCCAGAUACAUGGACGUAGUUCUGAAGGUCAGAGCAAAUAAAGUUGUCAACCUGACGAUGAUCAAGGCCUCAAAUCUAUCUCAUUUGGGACCCAUUUGUAAUGGUUAUGAGAUUUUAAAGACUAUUCCUCGGGUUAAAGAAACAGCCACGGAAGAAUGUAAUUUUAUCUAAAGUAUGCAUGAUAGCAGGAUAAAUGCAUAAGCAAAAUUCAAGAUUCCAUAGUAGAAAAGCAUUAAAGAAAGUGCAUUUACUAUGUCUCUAUAUGUUUCAGUUGACAUAAUUGCCAAUGUGAAGAAGGAAUUUUGGCAAAACAAUAAAAACAGUGAAAUAAUGAAGAGUUGGUCAGGAGACCCUUGUCUUCCCCUUCCAUGGCCGGGUCUAACUUUUGAUCGAGGAUAUCUACUGGACAGGAGGAACUACUGUUGUUCUUAACCAUUUUUGUUUAUAAUGUGCACAAAUUACUGGCAUAGGACUAAUAUUUUGAGCCUAUCUUGCUUCCCUACAAGACUGCUUUGGACUGUA